GUUUGGCUUAUGUUUACAGUUCCUAAAAAUUAUAUUAGCAUUGUUAAUAUUGAAAUACUUCUUCCUUGCAACCAAUACUUGUUUUGUGAGGGUGGAUACUCCAACCUGCAUCUUGUAAUGUGGUUGGAGAAGACUGAGAGGAAGGGGGGGAGGGGCGUUAAGCUUGGCAUCGUUCCGCCCCUAAUGUCAAUUUAUGCACCACUUGUAUAUUCUGUUAAGUAAAAAAAUAUAAUUUAAAGUCUUUAACACAAAAUAUAAUCAGUGUUUUUUAGGCUCAAAUAUUUAUAAGAUGGUAACAUUUCACUACAAGGGUGUUAAAACGUAACAAAUACAUCCACCCUUUAAUCUAAAAUAGACCAAUAAUAUUUGGAAAAGUAAUGGAAGCAAAUUAGAACAACUUUUUGUGUAUAAAGAUAACAAA
rnacentral:lncRNA from 1 species